ACGGGUGCGUAACGCGUGGGAAUCUGCCCUUAGGUUCGGAAUAACAGCUGGAAACGGCUGCUAAUACCGGAUGAUGACGAAAGUCCAAAGAUUUAUUGCCUGAGGAUGAGCCCGCGUUGGAUUAGGUAGUUGGUGGGGUAAAGGCCUACCAAGCCGACGAUCCAUAGCUGGUCUGAGAGGAUGAUCAGCCACACUGGGACUGAGACACGGCCCAGACUCCUACGGGAGGCAGCGGUGGGGAAUAUUGGACAAUGGGCGAAAGCCUGAUCCAGCAAUGCCGCGUGAGUGAUGAAGGCCCUAGGGUUGUAAAGCUCUUUUACCCGGGAAGAUAAUGACUGUACCGGGAGAAUAAGCCCCGGCUAACUCCGUGCCAGCAGCCGCGGUAAUACGGAGGGGGCUAGCGUUGUUCGGAAUUACUGGGCGUAAAGCGCACGUAGGCGGCUUUGUAAGUCAGAGGUGAAAGCCUGGAGCUCAACUCCAGAACUGCCUUUGAGACUGCAUCGCUUGAAUCCAGGAGAGGUCAGUGGAAUUCCGAGUGUAGAGGUGAAAUUCGUAGA
rnacentral:rRNA from 1 species